rnacentral:rRNA from 1 species
UACAGAGGAGCCAAGCGUUGUCCGGAUUGACUGGGCGUAAAGCGCACGCAGGCGGUGGUGCGCGUGGGGGGUGAAAUCUGGCCGCUUAACGGCCAGGCGCCAUCCCAUACGGCACGACUGGAGGGCUGCAGAGGUCGAUGGAAUUGCCGGUGUAGUGGUGAAAUGCGUAGAGAUCGGCAGGAACACCCAGGGGGAGACCAGUCGACUGGGCAGCACCUGACGCUGAGGUGCGAGAGCGUGGGGAGCGAACCGG